rnacentral:rRNA from 1 species
UACGGAGGAUCCAAGCGUUAUCCGGAAUUACUGGGCGUAAAGAGUUGCGUAGGUGGCAUAGUAAGUAAAUAGUGAAAGCGUGUGGCUCAACCAUACAUCCAUUAUUUAAACUGCUAAGCUAGAAGAUGAGAGAGGUUAUUGGAAUUCCCAGUGUAGGAGUGAAAUCCGUAGAUAUUGGGAGGAACACCGAUGGCGUAGGCAGAUAACUGGCUCAUUCUUGACACUAAGGCACGAAAGCGUGGGGAGCAAACGGG